UACGGAGGGUGCAAGCGUUAUCCGGAUUCACUGGGUUUAAAGGGUGCGUAGGUGGGUUGGUAAGUCAGUGGUGAAAUCUCCAGGCUUAACUUGGAAACUGCCAUUGAUACUAUCAAUCUUGAAUACCGUGGAGGUCAGCGGAAUAUGUCAUGUAGCGGUGAAAUGCUUAGAUAUGACAUAGAACACCAAUUGCGAAGGCAGCUUACUACACAGUCAUUGACACUGAGGCACGAAAGCGUGGGGAUCAAACAGG
rnacentral:rRNA from 1 species